UGUGGUUAGAGGUGAAAUGCCAAUCGAACUCGGAGAUAGCUGGUUCUCCUCGAAAUAGCUUUAGGGCUAGCGUCAAUUCAAUUAGCCAACGGGGGUAGAGCUCUGUAAAGGACUGGGGGGAGCAAUCCUACCCACCCUUAACAAACUACGAAUACCGUUGGUGGUACAUUGGCAGUUAGAACGUCGGGGCUAAGCUCGGCGCUCGAAAGGGAAACAGCCCAGACCAUCGUCUAAGGUCCCUAAAUAUAUACUCAGUGGGAAACAAGGUGAGAUUUCUUAAACAGCUAGGAUGUUGGCUUAGAAGCAGCCAUUCAUUUAAAGAGUGCGUAACAGCUCACUAGUCAAGAGAUCUUGCGUGGAAAAUGUAACGGGGCUAAAGUAUAUUACCGAAGACAUGGAUGUCACAUUUAUGUGGCGUGGUAGAGGAGCGUUCCUAUCUGCAGUGAAGUUCAACUGGAAAGUUGGGUGGAGCGUUAGGAAGUGAGAAUGCUGGAAUGAGUAACCAUAAGACAUGUGAGAAUCAUGUCGGCCGUAAGAGCAAGGUUUCCUGAGCCAUGGUAAUCAUCUCAGGGUUAGUCGGGCCUAAGCCGAGGCGCAUAGCGUAGGCGAUGGACAUCAGGUUAAUAUUCCUGAACCGGUUAUUAUUUGCACACUGUUCACGGUGAGAUAGUCGAAGCGGAUUCAUGGUAUGUAUCCGUCCAACCUAGCGGGAACGCGAAGGGAGUGAAAGUGAGUCUUCGGACUGACGAUUUUGGCGAAAGCGCUGGCAAGAAAAGCAGAUGUGCGCGUGAUAAUAGCCGCCCGUACCGCAAACCAACACAGGUGCUCGAGUCGAGUAGACUCAGGCUUACGAGAGAACCUUCGCUAAGGAACUCGGCAAUACAGCGACCGUAACUUCGGGAUAAGGUCUGCCCCCACAUCUUUGGAUGUGAGCCGUGUUCAAAAUAUCAGUAGAUAUAUUAGUGAUAGGUGGUUAAAAAACCUACAACUUGCCUUAUUUGUACCUUCGGGUAUAAAUAACGCAUUUUGUAGUAGUGAGUACGUUUCUGUUCGGCAAUGAACCAGAAAUGUUAAAUCCUUUUUGAACACAAAUUUUUUACUGAGAUAGACAAUAUGAUUAGCCGUACCUUUUUUAGGUGUAUGGCGACAAAUUGGAUUUUUUGAGCACGACCUCUCAUGUCUUAAGAUGUGGGGGCCGCAGCAAAAGAGCCCACGGAACUGUUUACCAAAAACACAGGUCUCUGCGAACACGAAAGUGGAUGUAUAGGGGCUGACUCCUGCCCAGUGCUGGAAGGUUAAGGCGAGUGCUUUACGGUGCGAACUGAAGCCCCAGUGAACGGCGGCGGUAACUAUAACCGUCCUAAGGUAGCGAAAUUCCUUGUCAGGUAAGUUCUGACCCGCACGAAUGGAGUAAUCAUGUGGGCACUGUCUCAGCGAAGGACUCGGUGAAAGUGCAUUGGCGGUAAAGAUGCCGUCUGUCCGUACCAGGACGAGAAGACCCCAUGGAGCUUUACUACAGUUUUACAUUGUUCCGGGUUACAACAUGUGUAGCAUAGGUGGGAGACUUUGAAGCGGAUACGCUAGUAUUUGUGGAGUCGUAAUGUGAAAUACCACCCUUGUUGUGAUCUUGAUCUAACUGAUACCGUUAUCCGGUAUCGGGACCGUGUAUGAUGGGUAGUUUAACUGGGGCGGUUGCCUCCUAAAGAGUAGCGGAGGCGUUCAAAGGUUGGCUAGCUUCGGAUGGAAAUCGAAGUGAUAGUGUAUGCGCACAAGCCAGCUUGACUGUGAGGGGUACAUCCCAAGCAGAGACGAAAGUCGGAGCAAGUGAACCGCUGUACGUACAAUUUUGUACAUAUAUGUGGGAAUGACAGCGAAUACGGAUAAAAGUUACCCUGGGGAUAACAGGCUUAUAGCGCCCAAUAGUUCACAUAGACGGCGCUGUUUGGCACCUCGAUGUCGGCUCAUCACAUCCUGGAGGGGGAGCACCUUCCAAGGGUUCGGCUGUUCGCCGAUUAAAGUGGUACGCGAGCUGGGUUCAGAACGUCGUGAGACAGUUCGGUUUAUAUCCGGUACGGACGUUAGGAAAUUUGAGAAGAUCUGCCCUUAGUACGAGAGGACCGGGGUGGACGAACCUCUGGUGUAUCGAUUGUGGCCACCUGCUGCAUUGUCGAGUAGCUAUGUUCGGAAUAGAUAAGCGCUGAAAGCAUAUUAAGCGCGAAACUAACUUCAAGAUGAGAUUUCCCUAUGAGGACACAGAAAGAAUAUCUGUUUGAUAGGUGCAAGGUAGAAGCGCAGUAAUGCGUGCAGCUAAAGCAUACUAAUAGUCCCAUCGCCUUUUUAU
rnacentral:rRNA from 1 species